rnacentral:rRNA from 1 species
GACGAACGCUGGCGGCGCGCCUAACACAUGCAAGUCGAACGAGCGAGAGAGAGCUUGCUUUCUUGAGCGAGUGGCGAACGGGUGAGUAACGCGUGAGGAACCUGCCUCAAAGAGGGGGAUAACAGUUGGAAACGACUGCUAAUACCGCAUAAGCCCACGGUGCCGCAUGGCACAGAGGGAAAAGGAGUAAUCCGCUUUGAGAUGGCCUCGCGUCCGAUUAGCUAGUUGGUGAGGUAACGGCCCACCAAGGCGACGAUCGGUAGCCGGACUGAGAGGUUGAACGGCCACAUUGGGACUGAGACACGGCCCAGACUCCUACGGGAGGCAGCAGUGGGGAAUAUUGCACAAUGGGGGAAACCCUGAUGCAGCGACGCCGCGUGGAGGAAGAAGGUCUUCGGAUUGUAAACUCCUGUUGUUGGGGAAGAUAAUGACGGUACCCAACAAGGAAGUGACGGCUAACUACGUG